UUUCAGAUUAGGUCCAGAUAUCUAUGACCCUCAGGGAUUAAUUUCAUCUUAUUCAUAAGAGGAACACAGGGGAAAGAGCUACCACAUGAACACUCAGGAUUUGAACAGCACCUCCCGUUCUUCGUCAUGAAUCCGUUUCUCAAACACACACAUUAAGUUACAUCAAUUCCUCUGAAGAUAAAGAAACAGGCAAUACCAACCAGAUGAGAAUUUGUCCAAAAACAAUAAAAUGCACAGUGCAGAGGGCAAAGACAAGCUGCUGUUUGCUUCUUUUGGUGCUGGCAACCAGAGAGGGGAUGUGAUGGUGCCAUUUCAUAAGUGCUUCAAUGGCUUCAACUCAGUUACCUCAAACUCAGAAAUUCUACUUUUUAGGGCAUUCUGAUGCUUAGCAAUUAGGUGGAACUUCCUUUCCUGAUUGAAAUAACACACAAGUCCUUCCAGGAUAGUCAGCACUUGGGGAAAAAAACACUGACUUGGGAAAAUUUGGGAACAUGGAUUUCAAAGUUUAAAUUUGAAUUUUAUUAAGGUGUAAACCUGCUUCAAACCUGUAUCAAUUAGGAGGCAGUUUCCUGAAGAAAGCCAGAAGUACAAUCCAGUUCUAGUCAGCACAAUGUCCAGUUGCCUCUAAUGACCUUUAAUAUAAGAGAGACUAUUUCAGUGUUUAUGUUACACUGAUGAAUCACAAUAAACUACAAUACAAGGGAUGCAAAAUUUGGAAACCACUUUUUCUGGCAGUUUUCAAAGACAGAUGGAGAAACACUCCUUCACAACAGAGAUUGUUCAAAUAAAUGAAUAAAUAAAUUAUUAAAUAAAAAGCUAUUUCAACCUUGCUGGCCUGAUCUACUAUGAUCUAUCAAAUCUUUGAGAGACCUCAAGCAGCUUACUUGUGUAUUUUAUAUACUUACACCCCAGGUAUAUUAGUCAGCACUUGGAAGAGAAAUUGGUGGCAUCCAGAGGCCAAUUUAUUUCCUUUUGCAAAAGAUUCAGCUUCAUACCAGCUUUGAGGCUCAGUUUUACAUAGUGCAGCAUCUGCCAAAUGACAGCAAUCUCCAAGCACAGAUCACCACCUUGACUGGGAUAAAGCAAGCACCAAAGAACUGCAGUGAUCCAGAAAGUGCUCACCAACUCACAUGAGGCUGCCUGGUCACACAGACCUCCUGGGAAUGUCAGGAGGUGAAGGAACGAAAGGAGAAGCCUUUGGACAGACGCACUGCCAUAUCAGUGCCAGAUCAAACCUGGCUAUCCUGGAUCUGCAGAGUCCCAAGAGAAAAGCAACAACUGCAGGAGAUGAGGGGUAUCAUUUUGCUUUCGCAGCCAGAUUGUCACCUUGGUUCCAAGAACAUUAACUGCACUACUGCAAUGUCCCACCCUCGGGGGAAGGGAGCACCCCAGAUUCGCAGGUGCUCGUGACCGAAAGGAACGAGGGUCAGAGGGUCUGCAAAAGUUUACAGAGUUUUUUUAGUAAAUUACACACUCAGCAUGGAAACUGGUACAAUAGUCCCUGACCUCCUAUAUAAGCACACUGCAGUAGGCUUUGGGUAAAGGGAUAGGGUGAAAGGGAAAGAGAAAGAGAGAGAUUAAUUAAAGAGGAGGAGAGAGAAAGAAAGGAAGAAAGAGAGAAAUAGAGAUCACCAGCCCUGGCUCCAGCAUCGAUCCAGCUGAUAGGGUGUCCAGAGUCCCAGGGUACCUUUUUAUAGAUAGGCUUUUCCUGCCCUGGAGGUUAGUUUCUUACUUUCUGUGCAAAUUAGUUGUCAUGCACAGUUUGUUCUUCUAGGUAACAAGUCAGAGGGCUUUGGGGGUCUCUGAUGGUCUUCAUCCCCCCUACAGUCCACACCCACUUCUUGAACUUGUUCCUGCACUUAUGCUGGACUGUGUUGUGUUCAUCUCCAGAAGCCAGAAAAAGAAUGUUUGUCCCAGGAAAAGCACUGCCCUACCUCCACAUGUCUCUCUUCUCUAGCCACAUCCUGUUCUUUCUCACAGUGUGUUAUGACCAACAAUCCUUUGUCAGCUCCACAGCUAUCUGGCUAUCGGUGUUUGAACAUACACAUUAGCCCCUUAUCUUCAGGGCUUCUGCAACCUCUGAACACUCAUGUAUCCAAAUUAAAAGUGAAACUAGACCCUUAUAUCCUCUGACCAAUGUUCACCCUAUGGCAGUGUCCCUCACUUAAAGCAGUAUUGUAUUUAUUCACAAUAAACACAAUAUUCACAGGGCAAAUUCUAAAUCUGUUAAUUAUUCCAAUAUAAAUUCCUCCCACAGCUUUAAACAGAGUCAAUACUCUUUAUUUUCUGCCCAUAAAUACACUGUGUUUUAAAGAUUUGCUGCCUGCUACCCCAAAGUGAAGCUGAAGAGA